rnacentral:rRNA from 1 species
UACGGAGGGUCCAAGCGUUAUCCGGAAUCAUUGGGUUUAAAGGGUCCGUAGGCGGUUUUGUAAGUCAGUGGUGAAAGCCCAUCGCUCAACGGUGGAACGGCCAUUGAUACUGCAAGACUUGAAUUACUAGGAAGUAACUAGAAUAUGUAGUGUAGCGGUGAAAUGCUUAGAUAUUACAUGGAAUACCAAGUGCGAAGGCAGGUUACUACUAGUGGAUUGACGCUGAUGGACGAAAGCGUGGGGAGCGAACAGG